rnacentral:rRNA from 1 species
GACGAACGCUGGCGGCGUGCUUAACACAUGCAAGUCGAACGGAAAGGCCCUGCUUUUGUGGGGUGCUCGAGUGGCGAACGGGUGAGUAACACGUGAGUAACCUGCCCUUGACUUUGGGAUAACUUCAGGAAACUGGGGCUAAUACCGGAUAGGAGCUCCUGCUGCAUGGUGGGGGUUGGAAAGUUUCGGCGGUUGGGGAUGGACUCGCGGCUUAUCAGCUUGUUGGUUGGGUAGUGGCUUACCAAGGCUUUGACGGGUAGCCGGCCUGAGAGGGUGACCGGCCACAUUGGGACUGAGAUACGGCCCAGACUCCUACGGGAGGCAGCAGUGGGGAAUAUUGCACAACGGGCGGAAGCCUGAUGCAGCAACGCCGCGUGCGGGAUGACGGCCUUCGGGUUGUAAACCGCUUUCGCCUGUGACGAAGCGUGAGUGACGGUAAUGGGUAAAGAAGCACCGGCUAACUACGUG